GAGAGUUUGAUCCUGGCUCAGAAUGAACGCUGGCGGCAUGCCUAACACAUGCAAGUCGAACGAAGGCUUCGGCCUUAGUGGCGCACGGGUGCGUAACGCGUGGGAAUCUGCCCUCAGGUUCGGAAUAACAGCGAGAAAUUGCUGCUAAUACCGGAUGAUAUCGCGAGAUCAAAGAUUUAUCGCCUGAGGAUGAGCCCGCGUAGGAUUAGCUAGUUGGUGUGGUAAAGGCGCACCAAGGCGACGAUCCUUAGCUGGUCUGAGAGGAUGAUCAGCCACACUGGGACUGAGACACGGCCCAGACUCCUACGGGAGGCAGCAGUGGGGAAUAUUGGACAAUGGGCGAAAGCCUGAUCCAGCAAUGCCGCGUGAGUGAUGAAGGCCUUAGGGUUGUAAAGCUCUUUUACCCGGGAUGAUAAUGACAGUACCGGGAGAAUAAGCUCCGGCUAACUCCGUGCCAGCAGCCGCGGUAAUACGGAGGGAGCUAGCGUUAUUCGGAAUUA
rnacentral:rRNA from 1 species